rnacentral:rRNA from 1 species
CAGUCGCCGCGGUAAUACAGAGGAUGCAAGCGUUAUCCGGAAUGAUUGGGCGUAAAGUGUCUGUAGGUGGCUUCUCAAGUCCGCCGUCAAAUCCCAGGGCUCAACCCUGGACAGGCGGUGGAAACUACCAAGCUGGAGUAUGGUAGGGGCAGAGGGAAUUUCCGGUGGAGCGGUGAAAUGCGUUGAGAUCGGAAAAAACACCAACGACGAAAGCACUCUGCUGGGCCGACACUGACACUUAGAGACGAAAGCUAGGGGAGCAAAUGGGAUUAGAUACCCCCGUAGUCCCUGUCUCUUAUAC